AUACGUACCUGACGUAGGGUUACCGUGAUCAUGCAGGCGGUUUCCCCAGGGUGAGGCUGCUCCAUUGCACUGCGGAGUGGUUGACCCUUGCGAUUAUUUAAUUUUUUUAUAAGUUUCACUUCUACCGUGUGUGACAUGCACACACACACA
rnacentral:snRNA from 9 species